AGCACUGCCUAGCCUGUCACUCUCAGCCGCUAGCAGCAUAAACAGCUCUGUCAUACAGACGUUAGCUGACCUUUUAAAGUAUUUAUAAAGGUGUAACCAGUCUGCUCUCCUCCCCAGAAAGGAGGUGACUGUGGUUUCUCUCCUCCCCACGGAGGGGUCCUGAAGCCCACGGUUAGCUGCCUUUAAAUGAAGUAUUCACAUGAGGCUGGUACUGCCACAACGUCAAUGUCUAUCACCAACUACAGGAUCUUGUCUUGCAAGAGGGGGGAUGAACUCCACCGCCGUGAGGGGUCUCUUGGUCUGCUGGUUGA